rnacentral:lncRNA from 1 species
AUUUAAUAUAUUCAAUACUAUAUUCAAUACUAUAUAUUCAGUAUACUGUUAUAAUUAUAAGAGGAAGACCUUAGGCAACCUUCCUCGCAUGAAUAAGCAAAUAUUUAGAGAGAUUAAAGAACCACGGGAAACGCCUAGUACCACAAACCACGCAAACAGGACAUAGGUUUGUGGUUGAUAAACACUGCUAGAACUUGCUUUGACAAACAUAUUGCGUAGAGGAAAUUAGUCAUAGUUACAGAUUUCUUCCUCUAAAAUUUAUUAUAAAAGCUGGGCACAACCUGAGAGUCGGGAGGGGAGAGUGAAGUGAGAAGAGCCAUUUAGGCUAAAAUACUUCAUAAGCCAACAAAGGCUGAAGUAUAUAAUUAAAAGGCUAGAUAAUUAAGCCUCGUCAAGUAAACUGAAGAACAUUGGAAUAUUGUGGAAUAAUUAUUAUUAAAGAAGACGGAAUACAAAGUAUAAAGAAUAAAGAUUCAAAGUUGUGC